GAAAAUACGAACAAAGGCACCAAAUUUUGGUUGAAAGUCUGGCAGGACUGGGCAUUGGCGAGAGAAUAUGAUGUUGACAUUGAGAAGUAUCCAAUUUUGUCAUAUGCUAAUAAUAAACAAGACGCUCCACGGAGCGUAAUGUCGCUGGGGGGAUGGAAAUAUGCAAUUUUAAGCACAAGUGAUACCACUUAAGAACAGCGUGUUUGUUUUUCCGAAAACAUUGAAUCUUGUAGUUUGCAGUUUGCCUGGCAGUUAGCGCUAAUAGUUAAAACAAG